UACGGGGGGGGCAAGCGUUGUUCGGAAUUACUGGGCGUAAAGGGUUCGUAGGUGGCCAACUAAGUCAGACGUGAAAUCCCUCAGCUUAACUGGGGAACUGCGUCUGAUACUGAUUGGCUUGAGUGCAGGAGAGGAACGCGGAAUUCCAGGUGUAGCGGUGAAAUGCGUAGAUAUCUGGAGGAACACCGGUGGCGAAGGCGGCAUCCUGGACCAACACUGACGCUGAGGAGCGAAAGCCAGGGGAGCAAACGGG
rnacentral:rRNA from 1 species